CUGUCCCAGACUGUAUACUUUAAAAUAUUCUCUUUCUGAUCCCCUCACAAACGGCUAUUGUAUUUCCACCAAUGGCACCUGUUUUGCACUUUGGAAAUAAAGCAGAAGCCACAAUCCCUCCCUCCGAAGAGCCUGAGAAGAGAAAAUGAAAGACAGCAAGAUAGCGAAAGCUCUCAGGUUCUGGUAGCUGAGGUGUGGACUGGAAACCCAAGUGGUGGAGCCUUCCUGCUGAGGGAGCUGCGGUGGCGGUCAGCACCGGGCCGGGCCUCCUGGCUCCAGGUCCUCCGGGCCAGGCGGUAGCAGCCGGGCUCUCAGAAAGGGCGGCUUCCGACCGCCCUCUGGCAGCACCGCUGACCAUCUGUCCCCGGACUACGAGGUCCAAGUCCUGCGCCGGACACAACCUCCCCUU
rnacentral:lncRNA from 1 species